GACGAACGCUGGCGGCGUGCUUAACACAUGCAAGUCGAGCGAUUCUCUUCGGAGAAGAGCGGCGGACGGGUGAGUAACGCGUGGGUAACCUGCCCUGUCCACACGGAUCACAUACCGAAAGGUAUGCUAAUACGGGAUAAUAUAUUUUAGUCGCAUGGCUGAAAUAUCAAAGCUCCGGCGGUACAGGAUGGACCCGCGUCUGAUUAGCUAGUUGGUAAGGUAAUGGCUUACCAAGGCGACGAUCAGUAGCCGACCUGAGAGGGUGAUCGGCCACAUUGGAACUGAGACACGGUCCAAACUCCUACGGGAGGCAGCAGUGGGGAAUAUUGCACAAUGGGAGAAAGCCUGAUGCAGCAACGCCGCGUGAGCGAUGAAGGCCUUCGGGUCGUAAAGCUCUGUCCUCAAGGAAGAUAAUGACGGUACUUGAGGAGGAAGCCCCGGCUAACUACGUGCCAGCCGCCGCAGUAA
rnacentral:rRNA from 1 species